rnacentral:rRNA from 1 species
UACAGAGGGUGCAAGCGUUAAUCGGAAUGACUGGGCGUAAAGCGCAUGUAGGUGGAUGAGUAAGUUUGAUGUGAAAUCCCUGGGCUUAACCUGGGAAUGGCGUUGAAGACUGUUCGUCUAGAGUUAGACAGAGGGUCGUGGAAUUUCCGGUGUAGCAGUGAAAUGCGUAGAGAUCCGGAAGAACACCGGUGGCGAAGGCGGUUAGCUGGGCAGUUGCUGACACUGAGGCGCGACGAGCGUGGGGGAGCAAACAGG